rnacentral:rRNA from 1 species
CCCUUCGGGGUGCCGGCGAGCGGCGGACGGGUGAGUAAUGCAUGGGAAUCUGCCCGGUAGUGGGGGAUAACCCGGGGAAACCCGGGCUAAUACCGCAUACGUCCUACGGGAGAAAGCAGGGGAUCUUCGGACCUUGCGCUAUCGGAUGAGCCCAUGUCGGAUUAGCUUGCUGGUGAGGUAACGGCUCACCAGGGCUGCGAUCCGUAGCUGGUUUGAGAGAAUGAUCAGCCACACCGGGACUGAGACACGGCCCGGACUCCUACGGGAGGCAGCAGUGGGGAAUAUUGGACAAUGGGCGAAAGCCUGAUCCAGCCAUGCCGCGUGUGUGAAGAAGGCCCUCGGGUUGUAAAGCACUUUCAGCGGGGAAGAAGGCGUGGCGGUUAAUACCCGCCACGAAGGACAUCACCCGCAGAAGAAGCACCGGCUAACUCCGUGCCAGCAGCCGCGGUAAUACGGAGGGUGCAAGCGUUAAUCGGAAUUACUGGGCGUAAAGGGCGCGUAGGCGGCCUGUCACGCCGGGUGUGAAAGCCCCGGGCUCAACCCGGGAACGGCAUCCGGAACGGGCAGGCUCGAGUGCAGGAGAGGAAGGUAGAAUUCCCGGUGUAGCGGUGAAAUGCGUAGAGAUCGGGAGGAAUACCAGUGGCGAAGGCGGCCUUCUGGACUGACACUGACGCUGAGGCGCGAAAGCAUGGGUAGCAAACAGGAUUAGAUACCCUGGUAGUCCAUGCCGUAAACGAUGUCGACCAGCCG